UAAUGUGCAAUGUGUGUGUGUGUGUGUGUGGCACUUGGAUUGUAAUUAAUGGGCCGUAAUAUUUAUUCAAUAGCAAAGAUACUCUGUCCUAAGACCACUCAAGAUUCGGCCGGGCUUAAUAGCCGCUGCCACUCAAAAGAACGUCAUCCCGGCUCUACCCUGGCAAACCAACAGUGUUGUUGUCAUUUUAUACAUAUAUAUAUAUAUAUAUGUAAUUUUCUUUUUACUGUGCAUACAACACGUCUUAAACAAUGCAAGACAAUUUUUCGGCCACUUGUCAAAAUAAUUUGCGCCUGUUGAGUAGACUUGGCCAAGAGAAUAUUCACGUCUCUUGGCCAAACAGUGAGCUGCUGCUGGCACUACCUGCCGUGCAAUUGUUGACUUAGUUGUUGGCAGUUGAGAAUGAAAAAUGUGUGAAAAUGUUUUAAACAAACCGAUUGUGUGCAGUGCAGCAAACAGUUGAGGGAGCCCAAAACAGGGGCGACGACGGCGACGGCGGAGGAGUCUUAUGGUUGUUUUCCCUGUGCGUGCAGGACGCGAGCAACAGGAUACACAGGCACACACACACACAUGCGGGACGCAUCUCGGCAGAAACCCUGGGAAAAGUUAACUUUUUGAUUUGAAGCAAAAGAAUCACAUGAAAAGUCACACGAUUGCGUUCCAGAAGGACAGACUGUUGCGGAUAGAAACAUGUUGCAAGUCAGUCGAAAAUUGGAGAGGAGGGGGCGAGCAGCAGCAGCAGCUGAAAUGCGGCAGGUUGCAUCAAUAGCCCCUGGCUUGGGAAAGAGGAUAAUGUGUAGAUGAAAGGUGCACAGAAUUGGGCAUAUUCGGAUAAUCAGUAUACGAUCAAUUAUUGCGGUUUCUCACAAUGCGAUAAUACGCGAGACCCAACAUUCAAUCUACUUAUAUACUAAACACGAUCUGUAAGCUUGGGCGUAUAAGUGUCCUAAGCUAAGACAAGAACCCCACUGUAAACGAAAGCACGCAAAAAGCUUAAGCGGCAGAAAAAUCUGCCAAGCGAUUCGCCAAAAUAUUUGCGUGUCCAGAUCUGCUCUACAUAAAAUCGUUAUUUAAAACAUA